AGGCCAAACUAAUAGAUGCUCGGCGUAAAGCGUGUUCUAGAGAUUAAGUAAUAAAUAAAGUCAAGCCUUAGCUAAGCUGUAAAAAGUCUCAGAUAUUGUAAGAUACGUAACGAAAGUGAUUUUAAAGAAUCUAACUACACGAUAGCUAAGAUCCAAACUGGGAUUAGAUACCCCACUAUGCUUAGCCCUAAACAUAAAAAAUUAUAAACAAAAUUAUUCGCCAGAGUACUACUAGCAAUAGCUUAAAACUCAAAGGACUUGGCGGUGCCUUAUAUCCUUCUAGAGGAGCCUGUUCUAUAAUUGAUAAACCCCGAUCUACCUCACCAAUCUUUGCUAAAU
rnacentral:rRNA from 1 species